CCUACGGGUGGCUGCAGUGAGGAAUAUUGGUCAAUGGCCGGAAGGCUGAACCAGCCAAGCCGCGUGAAGGACGAAGGUGCCAAGCAUUGUAAACUUCUUUUGUCAAGGGACAAAAUCAGGCUCGAGAGCCUGACCGUGGGUACUUGAAGAAAAAGCAUCGGCUAACUCCGUGCCAGCAGCCGCGGUAAUACGGAGGAUGCGAGCGUUAUCCGGAUUUAUUGGGUUUAAAGGGUGCGUAGGCGGACUGUUAAGUCAGCGGUAAAAGUCGGGGGCUCAACCCAGGAUAGCCGUUGAAACUGGCUGUCUUGAGUAGAGGAGAGGUGUGCGGAAUGCGCGGUGUAGCGGUGAAAUGCUUAGAUAUUGCGCAGAACUCCGAUUGCGAAGGCAGUAUACCGGCGGCGAUCUGACACUGAGGCACGAAAGCGUGGGUAUCGAACAGGAUUAGAUACCCGGGUAGUC
rnacentral:rRNA from 1 species